AUCCCAUGGUGAGGACUCUACCUUAACAAUUCCUUGAAUCUCUGCCACACAUCAAACAAAGACUCGUCAUAUCCUUGCCUAAAUGAAGCAAUCUCAUUCCUCAUCUU